rnacentral:rRNA from 1 species
UACGUAGGGGGCAAGCGUUGUCCGGAUUUAUUGGGCGUAAAGAGCGUGUAGGCGGUCAGGUAGGUCCGUUGUGAAAACUCGAGGCUCAACCUCGAGACGCCGAUGGAAACCAUCUGACUAGAGUCCGGAAGAGGAGAGUGGAAUUCCUGGUGUAGCGGUGAAAUGCGCAGAUAUCAGGAAGAACACCCGUGGCUAAGGCGGCUCUCUAGUACGGUACUGACGCUGAGACGCGAAAAGCGUGGGGGAGCGAACAGGG